rnacentral:rRNA from 1 species
UACGAGGGGGGCGAGCGUUGUUCGGAAUUAUUGGGCGUAAAGGGUGCGUAGGCGGCCUGACAAGUCUGAUGUGAAAUCCCUGGGCUCAACCCAGGGCCUGCAUCGGAAACUGUCGGGCUUGAGUAUGGGAGAGGUGAGUGGAAUUUCCGGUGUAGCGGUGAAAUGCGUAGAUAUCGGAAGGAACACCUGUGGCGAAGGCAGGUCACUGGGCCGCAACUGACGCUGAGGAGCGAAAGCAUGGGGAGCGAACAGG